rnacentral:rRNA from 1 species
UCCGUAGGUGAACCUGCGGAAGGAUCAUUAAAUGAUAGUACUGGCCCUAAGGUGUGGUAAUACAUGCCUGUGGGCUUUACGUCUAUUACCCUUGUUUUUCGAGUACCUAUGUUUCCUUGGUGGGCUUGCCCGCCAAUUGGACACCCUAUUAAACCUUUUUAAUUUUUAAUCAGCGUCUGAAUAAACUUAAUAAUUACAACUUUCAACAACGGAUCUCUUGGUUCUGGCAUCGAUGAAGAACGCAGCGAAAUGCGAUAAGUAGUGUGAAUUGCAGAAUUCAGUGAAUCAUCGAAUCUUUGAACGCACAUUGCGCCCCUUGGUAUUCCAUGGGGCAUGCCUGUUCGAGCGUCAUUUGUACCCUCAAGCUAUGCUUGGUGUUGGGUGUUUGUCCUCUCCAUUGCGUUUGGACUCGCCUUAAAGCAAUUGGCAGCCAGUGUUUUGGUUUUAAGCGCAGCACAUUUUGCGUCUUACUCCCUUGAAUACUAGCAUCCAUUAAGCCUUUUUAUUACUUUUGACCUCGGAUCAGGUAGGGAUACCCGCUGAACUUAAGCAUAUCAAUAAGCGGAGGAAGUCGA